AACGAACGCUGGCGGCAGGCCUAACACAUGCAAGUCGAACGCCCGUAGCAAUACGGGAGUGGCAGACGGGUGAGUAACGCGUGGGAACGUGCCCUUCGGUUCGGAAUAACUCAGGGAAACUUGAGCUAAUACCGGAUACGUCCGUAAGGAGAAAGAUUUAUCGCCGAAGGAUCGGCCCGCGUCGGAUUAGCUAGUUGGUGAGGUAACGGCCCACCAAGGCGACGAUCCGUAGCUGGUCUGAGAGGAUGAUCAGCCACACUGGACUGAGACACGGCCCAGACUCCUACGGGAGGCAGCAGUGGGAAUUUUGGGCAAUGGGCGAAAGCCUGACCCAGCAACGCCGCGUGAGGGAGGAAAUCCUUCGGGAUGUAAACCUCACAAGCAAGGGAAGAGAGCUCAGGGCCGAAUAAGCUUUGAGUCCGACGGUACCUUGCGUAAGCCACGGCUAACUACGUGCCAGCCGCCGCGGUAAC
rnacentral:rRNA from 1 species